rnacentral:lncRNA from 1 species
GGAACCCUCCUACACUGUUGGUGGGAAUGUAGAUUGGUGCAGACACUAUUGAGAACAGCAUUAUCCUCUAAAAACUAAAAACAGAACUACCAUAUGAUCUAGCAGUCCAACUCUGGGCAUAUAUUUGGACAAAACUCUAACUCAAAAAGAUACAUGCACCCCAAUGUUUAUAGCAGCAUUAUUCACAAUAGCCAAGACAUGGAAACAACCUAAAUGUCCAUUGACAGUGGAGAAAAAAGAAGAGCCUUCAAUGUGCUGCCUACCAGAGACACACUUUAGGGCAAAGAACACACAUAGAUUAGAAGUGAGGGGGUGGAAAAAGAUAUUUAAUGCAAAUGGAAAUGACAGGAAAGUGAAAGACAAAAUAGUCUUAAAACAGUCCAUGAAACAGAAUUCCUUACCAUGUUUUGGACUCAAAAUUCUUCAAGCAAAUUUUUAUUCCCUUGAAAUCUGGUGGCUUAUAAAACAAAAAUUCUCUCCCACACAACUAUAAUACAUGGAUCAGAACCAGGGCAUAUGCAAUUAAAACUCCCUUUACAAAGAAAUUUACCUAGUCGCCUUUGUGAGGUGCCUUUCUCUAAGAGGGAAAGGUUUUGAUAAGAUGUUGAUUUUGCCCCUUAGAGCCUCUUCUGCAUUUUUUAUCCCACUGAGGUUAUGGUAAAAUAAGUGUGCAGAGGUAUUCACUCCUUGGAGGGUUACAGGUCUAGGGCUUCUCAGCCUGCUUUCUGCACAUGCAAAUUUAGGACCUCACAUGCUGUUUACACGCUUAAAUUGCCUAAGGUUAUUUUCUUACUAGCUUAGAGAUUCCAUUGAGAAUGCAAUUUCCUAAAAGCGAAGGUGAGUGAGUUUCUGGUGUCUGCUUCCAAAAUCUCAUAUGCAAAUUUCUACAUCUGAAAUUCUUUCCUAGACCCUGUUACCAAAGUCACUAUCAAUCACUCCCUUCCUUUUUUCUCAUAAAUAAAUGACAACCUCUGAGACCCUUUAUUUCAUUUUGACUCAUCGCUGUUUAAACACAUUGUUCAACUGAGAAUGUUUACCAGUCUGUGUUGCUCAAAACCAUUUUUGUCUCAUUGUUUGUUAUUAGGGUCUAGUAGCCUUCAUUCUUAAUUUGAUCACUAUUUAAGGAAAUAGCUGAUUCAUAUCUAUGCUUAUUUCUUAUUCAUAAUACUUUGACAAAGAUAAACAACACAUACAAUAUUUUAAUUUUUUCUGGAUACUUCACUCAGAGAUACAGACUUAAGUUCAUUUGGUUUGUCUUCUAAACAAUCUCCCUUCAUGACAGAUAUUUAGAUGUUCAGUGGGAUCAUUAAGAAAUUACCACAUAUUUGUAUUUUUACAAAGGCAGCAAACCAUUUUAAGGCAAUAGUGCCUGUCUUAGGGUUACCAUUCACUAACUGCUAAAAAAUUAAAAUCCUUUAAAUCUCACUUUCUCUUUUUAUUCCUAAAAUAAGUAAUUUGGCUAGAUUAAAUAAAGGGGAAGCAAAAAUAUCUUGACUGGAAAUUUAUAAACCUCUUCCCAUCCUUAUAUUAUUUAUCAUACCUGAUAAAGGUUUUAUUUUGUGAUUAUAUUAGUGAAUUCACUUUUAUUCAUUAUUUCUUGUGUAAUUAAAAUUCAGUAUUAUCAAAUACUUAAUAUUAUUCAUAUUUGCCCUAAGUACCUAGAUUAUUUGUUUCUGUGUAUCAGGGUCUUAUAUCAUUAAGGCUGUGUUUUAGUAUUUAUGCUGAAAGUUGAACUAUUAUUCCUUAUGUAAUUAACCUUGUAAUUACCCAAUUUCACAUAAUGAAAAUAAAUUCAAAAUUGUGAUUCUGUACCUAUAAACACAAUUCUAUUUAUUCAUUUAUUUAUUUUGCUAUUUAGGACCACACUUGCAGCACAUGGAAGUUCACAGGCUAGGGUCGAAUUGAAGCUAUAUCUGCCAGCUUACACCACAGCCACAGUAACAUGGGAUCUGAGCCAUGUCUGCGACCUACACCACAGCUCUUGGAAACACCAGAGCCCUAACCCACUGAAUGAGGCCAGGGAUCAAAUCUGUAUCCUCAUGGAUACUAGUUGGAUUUGUUUCUGCUGAGCCACAAUGGGAGCCCCCAUUUUUUUUUUUUUUUUUACUGUUAGUUACAAAUAUUGUAGAAAUACUUUGUUUUCUGGUGAAUGCUGUAGAAAUUCUGUGAUGGGAACUCCUGUUCUUAUAAGGUGUUUCUCACAUUGAUAGUUUAAUAACAGUUAACAUUCUGUACACUUCCUGAUAUCUAGCAAGUUAUAUUUAUUCAUGUCCAACUCAGUUUGACAACAGACAUUUCUCAUCUUGAUGAACGUAUUUGUCAUGGACCCAUUUCUUAGAAAGAUUGACAAUGCAAAAGCUCUUGAAACCACAGGAUUGUAUUUUUUGCUGUCAUAUUUUUUUCAUCCUCAAUUCCAGUUUUAUUUGUUCUGUGAAAUCAAAUCGGGAAGAUGUGUGUGUCUAUGUGUGUGUGUUUGUGUGUGUGCGUGUGUGAGAUCAGGGGGCAGUUUUUUUCCCUAACAGAUGUGGACACAGAUUCAGUUUUAAGUAAUCUUCCACUUUAUCAUCAUAGUAAUUUAUGGCUUUAAAUAUUUCCAGGAGCUUUGGCAAUUUUAUUUUGUCAUUAUUUUUAAAGCAUUUUUUUGAUGAAACCCCUCUAUAGAGACCAUUUUGGAGUUAUGGGUCUUCUAGACAACCUGGUAAAAUACAUAGUUCUAAAAAUAUCUAGUGAAUUCAGUUCCCCUAAAUAAUUCCACAUAUUUCAAAAUGGAAGGACCUUCAGGACACAAACAUACAAAUCUGAGUCAGACAACCUGUGAAAAAUGUUUCAAAAAUCUCAAAGAUAUACUUGGAGUGAUCUGUUGUCAGCAAAGGGGAAGCACGCCAUUCCAUCUUAUUCCUCUCAUUGAUUGCAGUGAAACCUUCUGGGCUCUGAAAGGUAAAUGAUACGAGGUAGAUUGGGAUAGGAUGUCAAAACUGAAGAAAGACUGUUCACCAGUGAGUUUCCUUUUUUUUCCUUUCGUUUUUCUUUUUUCUCCCAAGGGUGGCCCAAAUAUGAGCCUCAUGUGAAUAACACAAACUGCAAUUGAAGCUAAAAGCUAGACGGAGUUCCUAUUUUGUGGCUCAGUGGUAACGAACCCAACGAACUGAUGUAGGUUCAAUCCCUGGCCCUGCUCAGUGGGUUAAGGAUCCCGUGUUGCAGCAAGUUGUGGAGUAGGUCUCAGAAGGCGUGGCUGUGGCUGUGGCAUAGGCAGCUGCAGCACUGAUUCAGCUCCUUGCCUGGGAGCUUCCACAUGCCAGGGGUGGGGCCAUUAAAAAAAAAGAAAAGAAAAAAAUAAAAGCUAAGUUAGAGAGUAUAUGGUAGCACUUAUUUUUCUCCCUGCCCUACUCCAGGACCAGGAUAUUCCAUUAAACUGCACCUGCAACAGUAGUGCAGAAAAUGAACAUUUGAUACAGAACAUUUGCUUCUCUGGUCAGAGGGAUCAGGGAUGAGGGUCCCUUUUGUCCAGAGUGUGGGAAGAGUCCUGCUAUUUUUUCCCCUCCUUUCUUUCUCUUGCUGCUUUGCUGAGUGUAGCUCAUUUUGUGUGGAAAAUGUGCAGCACAGCUGGGGAUAGCAUUCAGAAAUUUUUUUUUUGGCCAGAGAAAUCAGGAAAAGUGGUUCCUGGGCUCUAGAGUGUUGGAAAGAGAGCCUGCAAAGAGAUGAGCCUGAUCCCUUGAUCCUGUAAUUCUGCAUGUGAGUCAGUAGAAAUCUCAAGCUUACCCUUGAACUUGCUAGUCACAGAAUAGACUCCAAGAGGCACUGAAGAGGCUUUGAGAAAUAAACACUUUAUAAACCAGGUUUGAAAAACUAUAUCUCAAAGGUUAAUCCAGCCCACGGACAGACUUUUUACAGCCCAGGAGCUAAUAUUUAGCUUUUAAUAAUAGCUUUUGUAUUUUUAAGGGCUGUAAAAGAAGCAAGCAAAUAAUAAACAAAGCAGAAUAUGUAACAGAGAUCAUAUGUGGUCCACAAAACCUGCAGUAUUAUGUAACCCUUUACAGAAAAAAAAAAAAAAAAAGAAAAAGAAAAAGAAAAAGAAAAAUUGCUGAUCCCUGAUAGGAACUGCCCAAAUCCCAGGUGAAGCUUUAAACGGCAGUGCACUGGGCAGCAUGGACAGCAUGGCACAGGCAAUGCAAACCACACUGACCUUGAACUACACUUACAGAGAAGUGAGACAAAUGUGUAGGCUUAACCUAAUCUGGUUAAUUGUCUGUAAAAAUAAGCAAACAAGACCUCAAGAGACAUUCUCCAAAUGAUUUUAAAAGAAUCACAUCGCCCAAAUAAUACUGAAACUGUCGAAGGUCCAAUGCAAAAUUACUUGAGAUAAUAAAAGCUGCAAAAUGUGACAAAUUAUCAGCUUCAAACCCCAAGUUGAGAAAUAUUUUAAAGUGGAUGUUAUUAUUAUUAAUUUUUUUAGGGCCUCAUCCAUGGCAUAUUCAAAUUCCCAGACUAGGGGUCGAAUCAGAGCUACAGCUGCUGGCCUAUGCCACAGCCACAGAAACAUGGGACCUGAGUUGCAUCUGCAAGCUACACCUCAGCUCACGGCAAUGCCAGAUCCUUAACCCACUGAGCGAGGCCAGGGAUCUAACCCACAUCCUCAUGGAUGCUAGUCAGAUUUGUUUCCACUACACCACAGUGGGAACUCCUAAAGUGGAUAUUGUGCUCCACAUGAUAGAGAUGAAAACUAUUCAAAAGGAAGGACAGUAGAAUUCUUAUCAGAAAAAUAUAAACUAUAAUAAAACUAAAUGAAGGGGUUGCUGCUGUGCUGCAAUGGUAUUGCUGAAGCUGUAGCAUAAUUGCAGCUGCAGUUUAGAUUUGACUCCUGGCCUCAAAACUUCCAUAUGCCACAUGUGCAGCCGAAAAAAAAAAAAAAACCCUAAGUAAAAAUGUUAGAACUGAAAUACAUAAUAUACAAUGUGAGAAAAAAGAAUGUAUACAUGUAUAUGUAACUGGGUUACCAUGCUGUACAGUAGAAAAUUGACAGAACACUGUAAAUCAGCUAUAAUGGAAAAAAUAAAAAUCAUUAUUAAAAAAAAAUUGGAGUUCCCAUCAUGGCGCAGCUGAAACAAAUCUGACUAGGAUCGAUGAGGUUUUGGGUUCUAUCCCUGGCCUUGCUCAGUGUGUUGAGGAUCCGGCAUUGCUGUGAGUUCUGGUGUAGGUCACAGAUGUGGCUCAGAUCCCCUGUUGCUGUGGCUGUGGUGUAGGCCAGCAGCUGUAGCUCUGAUUGGACCCCUAACCUAGAAACCUCCAUAUGCUGUGGGUGUGGCCCUAAAAAAAAUAAAAAUAUAAAAAAGUUUAUCAUAAGGACAUAAUAGUAGAAAAUGUCAAAUAUUUUGAUAUAUCAGUAGAAUGUAUCCAAACUGAAGUACAGAGGGGGAAAAAAGAUAAAAGAAAGAUUAGAGCCUCAGAGGUUUGGGGACAAUAUAAAAAAAUCUAGCAUUUAUCACUCUGGAAUACUAAAAACAAAAAGAAAUGGAUUUGAUUAAAAUUCAAAAAGAAGAGAUACUGGUGAAAAUAUCCUAAGUUUUUUUUAAAAAAUUGUGAAUAUACAAAUUAAAGAAGUUCAGAAAACUUUAAAAAGUAUAAAUCAUAUCCAGGCACAUCAUGAUUAAGAGCUAAAACCAAAGAAUAAAAAAUAUAAUCCUGAUAUAGACAGUGAAAAAGGAAACACAGCAGCAUAUAGGGAAUAAUAAUUUGAAUGAAAGUGAAUUUCUUUUUAGAAAACAUGGCUUCUAGAGGACAUUGGAAUGAUAUUUAAAUUGCCUAAGAAGAGGGAGGGGCCAUAUUUUGAACCUGAGAUUCUAAAUCCUGUGACACUAUUCUUGGGGAAUGAGUUAGUUAGAGAUGCUUUCAGAUGAAGGAAAAAUAAAACAAGAUUUGUAAAUAGUAUUUCUCUAAAAAAUGCUAAAGAAAAUUUUUCAAGAAAAAUGAUUUUCUUAUGCUCUUUAAGAGAAAUGAUUAUAGAGGCAAUCUUUGAACUAUAAAAGUGAAGGGAAAGCAUGGUAAAUAUAUGGUAAUAUUAGAAACGUUUUCUUACCUUCCUAUUAUUUAAAGUAAUUAUGAAUGUUGGAAGCUAAAUUUGUAAGUGUCUAGUAGAGUUUUCAAUCUAUGUAGAUGUAAUAUAUUUAUGACAACAGUAAAAUAAAAUGAGGCAGAAAAAGAGCUAUGUGACCUUAAAAUGAACAUUUUAAUUGAAUUGGUAAAAUAAUUACUUUAAUUAGAAUUUUAAAGGUUAGUUAUUUAUCUAGUAAUUGCUAGAGCUAUCAAUCAAAAAUAAAAAGAGAUACAGACAAUACAUUAUUCUACACAAUCCUAAUAAAAAUCUCAGCAGGAUUUUUUUUGGGGGGUAGAUGUAGACCAACUGUUUUUAAAAUUACAUGAAUAGGCAAAUGGAAUACAAUAAACAAAAUAACUGAGAAAGUAAGAACAUAUUUGCUGGACUUACUACCUGAUUUAAAGACCUACAUUAAGUCUGCAGUUAUCAAGUCAUAGACAAGUACAACAGAAUUGAAAGUGUGGAA